rnacentral:rRNA from 3 species
AUAAGGGCGCACGGUGGAUGCCUUGGCACUAGAAGCCGAUGAAGGACGUGACUAACGACGAAAUGCUUUGGGGAGCUGUAAGUGAGCAAUGAUCCAGAGAUGUCCGAAUGGGGGAACCCGGCAGGUAAUGCCUGUCACUCAUUACUGUUAAGGUAAUGUAGAGGAAGACGCAGUGAACUGAAACAUCUAAGUAGCUGUAGGAAGAGAAAGCAAAAGCGAUUGCCUUAGUAGCGGCGAGCGAAACGGCAAGAGGGCAAACCGAAGAGUUUACUCUUCGGGGUUGUAGGACUGCAACGUGGACUUAAAGAUUAUAGAAGAACUACCUGGGAAGGUAGGCCAAAGAGAGUAAUAGCCUCGUAUUCGAAAUAGUCUUUAUACCUAGCAGUAUCCUGAGUACGGCGAGACACGAGAAAUCUCGUCGGAAUCUGGGAGGACCAUCUCCCAACCCUAAAUACUCUCUAGUGACCGAUAGUGAACCAGUACCGUGAGGGAAAGGUGAAAAGCACCCCGGGAGGGGAGUGAAAUAGAACCUGAAACCGUGUGCCUACAACAAGUUCGAGCCCGUUAAUGGGUGAGAGCGUGCCUUUUGUAGAAUGAACCGGCGAGUUACGAUAUGAUGCGAGGUUAAGUUGAAGAGACGGAGCCGUAGGGAAACCGAGUCUUAAUAGGGCGCAUUAGUAUCAUGUCGUAGACCCGAAACCAUGUGACCUACCCAUGAGCAGGUUGAAGGUGAGGUAAAACUCACUGGAGGACCGAACCAGGGCACGUUGAAAAGUGCUUGGAUGACUUGUGGGUAGCGGAGAAAUUCCAAACGAACUUGGAGAUAGCUGGUUCUCUCCGAAAUAGCUUUAGGGCUAGCGUCGAUGUUAAGUCUCUUGGAGGUAGAGCACUGUUUGGGUGAGGGGUCCAUCCCGGAUUACCAAUCUCAGAUAAACUCCGAAUGCCAAUGAGAUAUAAUCGGCAGUCAGACUGCGAGUGCUAAGAUCCGUAGUCGAAAGGGAAACAGCCCAGACCACCAGCUAAGGUCCCAAAAUAUAUGUUAAGUGGAAAAGGAUGUGGGGUUGCACAGACAACUAGGAUGUUAGCUUAGAAGCAGCUAUUCAUUCAAAGAGUGCGUAAUAGCUCACUAGUCGAGUGACCCUGCGCCGAAAAUGUACCGGGGCUAAAACAUAUUACCGAAGCUGUGGAUACCUUUAUAGGUAUGGUAGGAGAGCGUUCUAUGUGCGAAGAAGGUGUACCGUGAGGAGUGCUGGAGCGCAUAGAAGUGAGAAUGCCGGUAUGAGUAGCGAAAGACAGGUGAGAAUCCUGUCCACCGUAAGACUAAGGUUUCCAGGGGAAGGCUCGUCCGCCCUGGGUUAGUCGGGACCUAAGGAGAGACCGAAAGGUGUAUCCGAUGGACAACAGGUUGAUAUUCCUGUACUAGAGUAUAUAGUGAUGGAGGGACGCAGUAGGCUAACUAAACCAGACGAUUGGAAGUGUCUGGCCAAGCAGUGAGGUGUGAUAUGAGUCAAAUGCUUAUAUCUUUAACAUUGAGCUGUGAUGGGGAGCGAAGUUUAGUAGCGAAGUUAGUGAUGUCACACUGCCGAGAAAAGCUUCUAGCGUUAAUUAUACUCUACCCGUACCGCAAACCGACACAGGUAGUCGAGGCGAGUAGCCUCAGGUGAGCGAGAGAACUCUCGUUAAGGAACUCGGCAAAAUGGCCCCGUAACUUCGGGAGAAGGGGCGCUGACUGAUGGUCAGCCGCAGUGAAUAGGCCCAAGCAACUGUUUAUCAAAAACACAGCUCUCUGCUAAAUCGUAAGAUGAUGUAUAGGGGGUGACGCCUGCCCGGUGCUGGAAGGUUAAGAGGAGUGCUUAGCGUAAGCGAAGGCAUGAAUUGAAGCCCCAGUAAACGGCGGCCGUAACUAUAACGGUCCUAAGGUAGCGAAAUUCCUUGUCGGGUAAGUUCCGACCCGCACGAAAGGCGUAAUGAUUUGGGCACUGUCUCAACGAGAGACUCGGUGAAAUUUUAGUACCUGUGAAGAUGCAGGUUACCCGCGACAGGACGGAAAGACCCCAUGGAGCUUUACUGCAGUUUGAUAUUGAGUAUCUGUACCACAUGUACAGGAUAGGUAGGAGCCUAUGACCUCGGGACGCCAGUUUCGAGUGAGGCGUUGUUGGGAUACUACCCUUGUGUUAUGGCUACUCUAACCCAGAUAGGUUAUCCCUAUCGGAGACAGUGUCUGACGGGCAGUUUGACUGGGGCGGUCGCCUCCUAAAAGGUAACGGAGGCGCCCAAAGGUUCCCUCAGAAUGGUUGGAAAUCAUUCGCAGAGUGUAAAGGUAUAAGGGAGCUUGACUGCGAGAGCUACAACUCGAGCAGGGACGAAAGUCGGGCUUAGUGAUCCGGUGGUUCCGUAUGGAAGGGCCAUCGCUCAACGGAUAAAAGCUACCCUGGGGAUAACAGGCUUAUCUCCCCCAAGAGUUCACAUCGACGGGGAGGUUUGGCACCUCGAUGUCGGCUCGUCGCAUCCUGGGGCUGUAGUCGGUCCCAAGGGUUGGGCUGUUCGCCCAUUAAAGCGGCACGCGAGCUGGGUUCAGAACGUCGUGAGACAGUUCGGUCCCUAUCCGUCGCGGGCGUAGGAAAUUUGAGAGGAUCUGCUCCUAGUACGAGAGGACCAGAGUGGACUUACCGCUGGUGUACCAGUUGUUCUGCCAAGAGCAUCGCUGGGUAGCUAUGUAGGGAAGGGAUAAACGCUGAAAGCAUCUAAGUGUGAAGCCCACCUCAAGAUGAGAUUUCCCAUGAUUUUAUAUCAGUAAGAGCCCUGAGAGAUGAUCAGGUUGAUAGGUUAGAAGUGGAAGUGUGGUGACACAUGUAGCGGACUAAUACUAAUAGCUCGAGGACUUAUCC